rnacentral:misc_RNA from 1 species
UUAAUUUAAUUAAAAUUUUAUACUCAGACGACUGGUUUAAAACAAGAGUUUGGUUAGACUCUGGCGGGCGCUCGCCUGUCCGGAGACCGGCGCGCUUCCGGUCGAGACCUUUCACGGUCCCGCCAAAGCAACGAAGUAGUUAUAACGACAGAGGGUUGGAGGUUCGGGCCAGAGACCCUUACUCUUUAAUGAUCCUUCCGCAGGUUCACCUACGGAAA